ensembl:ncRNA R05H11.5 ncRNA
AAGUUUCAAUUUCCCUGGCUUCUGCCGCUUUUAGACUAUCUCCAAAUCACCACCAUCUGAUAACUGAUCCAUAAUAUCUUUUGACCGACAUUCCUUUUCAUCUCUUCAAUAUUACCGACUUUUGUGUAUAUUUUAUGAUAGAGCGUACGAGACGAAGAGACGCAGACAUUAAUUUUAUGCUUUUCUUGUGGAUACGCAGAAAUAA